UGGGGAAUUUUCCGCAAUGGGCGAAAGCCUGACGGAGCAACGCCGCGUGAGGGAUGAAGGCCUCUGGGCUGUAAACCUCUUUUAUCAAGGAAGAAGAUCUGACGGUACUUGAUGAAUAAGCCACGGCUAAUUCCGUGCCAGCAGCCGCGGUAAUACGGGAGUGGCAAGCGUUAUCCGGAAUUAUUGGGCGUAAAGCGUCCGCAGGCGGCCCUACAAGUCUGCUGUUAAAAAGUGGAGCUUAACUCCAUCAUGGCAGUGGAAACUGUUGGGCUUGAGUGUGGUAGGGGCAGAGGGAAUUCCCGGUGUAGCGGUGAAAUGCGUAGAUAUCGGGAAGAACACCAGUGGCGAAGGCGCUCUGCUGGGCCAUCACUGACGCUCAUGGACGAAAGCCAGGGGAGCGAAAGGGAUUAGAUACCCCUGUAGUC
rnacentral:rRNA from 1 species